rfam:Nitrospira sp. HN-bin3 contig6474, whole genome shotgun sequence.
GGGGGCGACCGGUUUCGACGGGGAUACUGAGGUCACUGUCGCAUGUCGAGCUCUCGGGAACUCGUAAAAGUCCGAGAAAACGCAACUGCCAAUCAAGAACUGGCACUCGCAGCCUAAUUUAGGCUGAGACGUCGUUCCAUCUGAGGCCCGCGGGGGUGGAACGGCGCGAUGCAGCGGGCUGGUCCCAGGCCGGUGCUCAGCGGCCGAGGACGAGACUAUCCUGGGCUAG